GACGAACGCUGGCGGCGUGCUUAACACAUGCAAGUCGAACGGAAAGGCCCUGCUUUUGUGGGGUGCUCGAGUGGCGAACGGGUGAGUAACACGUGAGUAACCUGCCCUUGACUUUGGGAUAACUUCAGGAAACUGGGGCUAAUACCGGAUAGGAGCUCCUGCUGCACGGUGGGGGUUGGAAAGUUUCGGCGGUUGGGGAUGGACUCGCGGCUAAUCAGCUUGUUGGUGGGGUAGUGGCUUACCAAGGCUUUGACGGGUAGCCGGCCUGAGAGGGUGACCGGCCACAUUAGGACUGAGGUACGGCCCAGACUGCUACGGGAGGCAGCAGUGGGAAAUAUUGCACAAUGGGCGGAAGCCUGAUGCAGCAACGCCGCGUGCGGGAUGACGGCCUUCGGGUUGUAAACCGCUUUCGCCUGUGACGAAGCGUGAGUGACGGUAAUGGGUAAAAAAGCACCGGCUAACUACGUG
rnacentral:rRNA from 1 species